CGAGAAGAGAGGCCUGGCGGUGACAGAGAGGAUGAAGCCCACCCUCUGUGGCACUGCGAGCUUGCAAGUUCAAAAAAAAAAAAAAAAAAUCCAAGGUCAACAUUGGUAAUUAGAAAAUGUAUGCAAAACGCUUUAUUAAAAUCAUACCUACCUAGGGGUCCUGGGAGAGCCUGAAAUGAUACGUGUGCUCAUGUUAGAAUUAUAAAGCUCAGUUGUUGAUCUUAUUUUGGGAAUGUCUAUCCCUCUAAUUACUUUACAGUCCAAAUGAUUAAAAAAAAAAAAAAGAAAGAAAGAAAAAAGAGAGAAGGGAGCAGCAGACGAGCCCAAAUUGCUGUGUUUAAAAGAGCAGGGCUGUCUGUUUGCGUGGGGCUGUCUCCCUGUAAUGAGAGCCACGGAAAUGGAAGCUAUUUGGACGAACUAGCUCAGCGCUGCGGAGCCGCGCGGGCCUCCAAAUGCAAGGGAUUUGGGCAAUCCAGUAAAGAAAACGCCAGCAUUGGUGAGUAGAAAUGGCAUGUAAGCUCUGGAUUCAAAACAAGGCAUCAGGGGAUAAUUGUGACAGAGGCCAAUGCUUUAGGAAAUGAUUUUUCUUGUGCCAUAAAUUGUAGUUGAAGGAUAAUUUUGUUUUUGUUUUGUUUCUCCCCAGAGUGGCCUCAUGAAUAUGAAGAUAUCUGGAAAAUCUUCACUACACAGCAUGAUUUCAGGAAUGAUGAAACAAUAAAUGAGAAUCUGGUAUUAAUAAUCUGUGGGUUUUAAAUUGUAUGCCAUCUGAAGAUGUUAGGACCAGUAAUUUCAUGUAUCCUACAAAGUGGAACAUGCCGUAGGGCACAGAGAUUCGUGAUUCAUGAGGAGGUUGGAUGUCUGACGAUAAACGUCCACGCACACAAUUUGAGCCUUUGGUGCUUACUGGCUGUACUAUGGUAAUGCCUCAUUAAUUCAAACCUCUCAAAGCCAGAUUUUGGAAUGAAUCAGGUUGAAAAGAUUGAGAGCUGAUGCCUGCCUUUGCGUAAUUGACAGCCUUUGCUCAGCAAAUUAAGUCGCUUAUAGUUGAUGACCAAAGAAAAUGCAGAGUAUCUGAGAAGCACAAAAUAGGAAGGGUGAACCAUCAGAACAGACUUUCUACAGCCCUCAGAGCAAGGUGUUAUUAUUCCACAGUACGUUCUAGAAAGGAUGUCUGAGCUGCCUUUCUUGUCGAAUAUCAUCUUCUUUCAGAGCACCCCACCCAUUUAUCUUUUAUAAAGGUCAGAACUGGAAUAAAACUGUGUGAAGAGUUUUUUUUUUGUUGUUUUUUUUUUAAGACAGAGGCUCGCUCUGCCACCCAGGCUGGAGUGCAGUGGCUUACUGCAACCUCCACUUCCUGGGUUCAAGCAAUUCUCAUGGCCCAGCCUCCCAGGAAGCUGGGAUUACAGGCAUGCACCACCAUGCCUAAUUUUUGUAUUUUU
rnacentral:lncRNA from 1 species